UACGGGGGGAGCAAGCGUUGUUCGGAUUUACUGGGCGUAAAGGGCGCGUAGGCGGCGUGACAAGUCACUUGUGAAAUCUCCGGGCUUAACUCGGAACGGUCAAGUGAUACUGUCGGACUAGAGUACAGAAGGGGCAACUGGAAUUCUCGGUGUAGCGGUGAAAUGCGUAGAUAUCGGGAAGAACACCCGUGGCGAAGGCGGUUCUCUGGGGACGGUACUGACGCUGAGACGCGAAAGCGUGGGGAGCGAACAGG
rnacentral:rRNA from 1 species